AUUGAACGCUGGCGGCAUGCUUUACACAUGCAAGUCGAACGGCAGCGCGGGGGCAACCCUGGCGGCGAGUGGCGAACGGGUGAGUAAUACAUCGGAACGUACCCAGAAGUGGGGGAUAACGUAGCGAAAGUUACGCUAAUACCGCAUACGUUCUACGGAAGAAAGUGGGGGAUCGCAAGACCUCAUGCUUUUGGAGCGUCCGAUGUCUGAUUAGCUAGUUGGUGAGGUAAAGGCUCACCAAGGCGACGAUCAGUAGCUGGUCUGAGAGGACGACCGGCCACACUGGAACUGAGACACGGUCCAGACUCCUACGGGAGGCAGCAGUGGGGAAUUUUGGACAAUGGGGGCAGCCCUGAUCCAGCAAUGCCGCGUGAGUGAAGAAGG
rnacentral:rRNA from 1 species